UGCAAUCCCCCUAUUCUGUCAGUCAAAGUGAUCAAAAACCUGGGUACUCAGUUUUGCAGUCUUGAUGAAGAAGAGCUCUCUGAUGAAAAGCUCCUGAAGGUUGAGGGGAAAAAGAAACCUGUGAGGAGAAAGAAAAAUAAGACCCAGGGAAGCAGCAAGGAUGAUCAAGAGCAGCAGAAUGAACAAGAGAAGAAAGAAUAAGAUGCAACAAGAGCUUAGUAGAUGCAUCUACCUUUUGCUUGCUAUGUAUCAGAACUUCUGGUGUUUGUUCAGAACCAUGUAUUGGGUUGUGCUAAUCUUGUACUCUGUAUCUGUGGCCCCAGUUGGCAUCUUGUUGACAAUUGACUCUCAGAACCUUGUGAACUUGAAUGUUUUUUAUGCUGUCAGUUUGAUUAUUGUCUUUAUCAGCACAGAGUUUGCUGUGGUUUU
rnacentral:lncRNA from 1 species